AUGGACGGCCUCCUCCAUUGGGUUUUCUCCCCCGGCCUCAAGGUCGACGAUCAGGUGCGUACACAUUUUGGAUCUAUGGUCCACUUCAUCCCCAACCCUAACUCCAAGGAGUUCUUCCUUGAAGUUUCUUUCUCCUCGGCCUCUUUUCCCCUCUCGGAAGAAUCAGUGGGAUUGGCCUUACAGUCUUGUAUUGGUGGCGUCAGUGCAAGUUUCAAUGUGCUAUGUUUGGGUGAUCGUCGUUUUCGGUUCUCGGUGGCUUCCAAUCGUGUGGGUCAUUAUAUUUUUGGCCUACGUGAUCGCAUCUGGCUGGACUUCAUAUGUCACUUCUAUCUCCAUCGAGGUGUAAAGUAUCUCCCUCGGAUUGUUGGUUGGCAUGCGGACACUGAACUCAAUGGAUUGGCAUCUUCACCUGGUCCAGCUAUUAAGUCCAAAUGGCUCUCUUCCAAAUCCAAAGAUGUUAUUGAUCCAGCCUCAUUCUCGAUUUUUCAAAAUUUGUGGUUGUUUCAGCCGCUGACGGUGAGACAUUCCAGCGCCGGUACCUUACCAAAGAUUUCUUUUGGCAGUUUUUCGGGGCCGGAUUCUCAGGAAGUUCAUUACCCUUUUCAUAUUGGGGCCAUCAAUGUACCGAAUUUGUCCAGAUCUCAUGUCACAUUGCCAUCUUUUCGUGGACAUCGUUUUUUCCAAAGUUUGUGGGAUGCUAUCCCUGAGGAUAAGCUUCUCUCUAUUCUGGAUGGUUGGUAA
rnacentral:rRNA from 1 species